rnacentral:rRNA from 1 species
UCGGGAAUUUUGGGCAAUGGGGGAAACCCUGACCCAGCAACGCCGCGUGAAGGAUGAAGUAUUUCGGUAUGUAAACUUCGAAAGAAUAGGAAGAAUAAAUGACGGUACUAUUUAUAAGGUCCGGCUAACUACGUGCCAGCAGCCGCGGUAAUACGUAGGGACCAAGCGUUGUUCGGAUUUACUGGGCGUAAAGGGCGCGUAGGCGGCAUGACAAGUCACUUGUGAAAUCUCUGGGCUUAACCCAGAACGGCCAAGUGAUACUGUCGCGCUAGAGUGCAGAAGGGGCAAUCGGAAUUCUUGGUGUAGCGGUGAAAUGCGUAGAUAUCGAGAGGAACACCUGAGGUGAAGACGGGUUGCUGGGCUGACACUGACGCUGAGGCGCGAAAGCCAGGGGAGCAAACGGGAUUAGAUACCCAAGUACUCCCUGAGCGGGCUGGCAAGGCGCAU